rnacentral:rRNA from 1 species
CCUACGUGAGGCAGCAGUGAGGAAUAUUGGUCAAUGUGCGCGAGCCUGAACCAGCCAAGUAGCGUGAAGGAUGACUGCCCUACGGGUUGUAAACUUCUUUUAUAAAGGAAUAAAGUGAGGCACGUGUGCCUUUUUGUAUGUACUUUAUGAAUAAGGAUCGGCUAACUCCGUGCCAGCAGCCGCGGUAAUACGGAGGCUCCGAGCGUUAUCCGGAUUUAUUGGGUUUAAAGGGAGCGUAGAUGGGUUGUUAAGUCAGUUGUGAAAGUUUGCGGCUCAACCGUAAAAUUGCAAUUGAUACUGGCAGUCUUGAGUACAGUUGAGGUAGGCGGAAUUCGUGGUGUAGCGGUGAAAUGCUUAGAUAUCACGAAGAACUCCGAUUGCGAAGGCAGCUUACUAAACUGCCACUGACAUUGAUGCUCGAAAGUGUGGGUAUCAAACAGGAUUAGAUACCCUAGUAGUC